GAGAGAGAUGGAGAGGAUACAAGGAGCCGCUGAAACACAUGUUCUCAUACUUCCUUUCCCUGUACAAGGACACAUAAAUCCGAUGCUCCAAUUCUCCAAGCGCCUAGCCUGCAAAGGAGUCAAAGUGACACUAAUCACCUUCAGCGACAAACAAUUCACCAAAGGCGAAGAUGGGUUAGUAAGUUUUGAGUCCAUUUCUAAUACUAGUGAAGAAAGCAGGAAGGAUAUGGGUGUAGAUGACCGUAUGAAGAAAUUCCAGGAUGCGGUUAGAGUGAAAUUACCAGAAAUUGUUGCAAAGCAUGGGGAGUCUGGCUUCCCUGUGAGUUGCCUUAUAUAUGACUCGAUGAUGCCAUGGGCUCUGGAGCUAGCCAGAAAGAUUGGAAUCUCUCCAGCAUCAUUCUUCACGCAAUCGUGUGCAGUUUGUGCUAUUUAUUAUGCAGUUCAUGAAGGGAAGCUUAACAUUCCAAUUGAUGAUCAGGCCUCUGUAUCACUAGAAGGGAUGCCACCAAUUGAGGCCUAUGACUUGCCCUCUUUCGUUUAUGACAUGGAUAAGUACCCAGGUGUAUUGAGCCAUCUAGCAAGUCAGUUUUUGAACAUUGGAGAAGUUGAUUGGAUCUUUUACAAUACUUUCGACAUCUUGGAAGAAGAGGUGGUUAGCAGGAUGGAAAGCAAGUGCCCAAUCAGGCUAAUAGGACCAACAAUUCCAUCAAUGUAUUUGGACAAGAGAUUGGAGGACGACAAGGAUUAUGGCCUCAACCUCUUCCAACCCAAUACAGAAACUUGUAUGGAGUGGCUAGACACUAAGGAAAAUUGCUCAGUAGUUUAUGUAGCCUUCGGAAGCAUAGCUGCCUUGGGAGAGAAGCAGAUGGAGGAGCUUGCACAGGGCCUAAACAUGAGCAACUACUAUUUCUUGUGGGUGGUUAGGGAAUCAGAAGAGAAAAAACUUCCAAGAAAAUUUGUUCAAGAGACAUCAGAGAAAGGUCUAAUAGUAACAUGGUGCCCUCAAUUAAGAGUUCUGGCUCACAGGUCAGUGGGAUGCUUCAUGACUCAUUGUGGGUGGAACUCAA
rnacentral:misc_RNA from 1 species